GAUGAUGAAAGGCAUGUAGAGUUUGAGCUCACUCCCAGCAGGGAAGACCAGUUUGAGUUUUUUUCCUGCUUCUAGGGUGGUAGAAAGCAGCCUUCAGCCUGAGACCCAUCCCUAGAAGAGAAAGAAAAGAAGGAAAGAAAGCAAGCAAGCAAGAAAGCAAGCAAGCAAGAAAGAAAGAAAGAAAGAAAGAAAGAAAGAAAGAAAGAAAGAAAGAAAGAAAGAAAGAAAAGAAAAAGAAAGAAAAGAAGAGCCUUAAGGUCAACCUACAAACUACAGAGUUCCUAAGUUCUCUUUUUUCUCUAUUUUCUUUUCUGCCUGCUUUAAAUCUGCUGUUAUUUUUCUAUUAAGAUCAAAACCACUGUUUGGAUACAACAGGCUUUUUGUUUGCAACCUGGUGAAUUUGUAUUUGUCUCAUGGCUAAAGUUCUGAAGUAAAAGCUAUAGGAUUUCUGUGUGUGUGUUUGUGUGUGUGUGUGUGUGUGUGUGUGUAUCUAUUUAAAAGGCCUUUAUAAUUUUUAUAAUUUUAUGUUUAAUUGGCAAUUAAAUCCAUUUUGACUUCCCUCUAGCACCACCAGACUUUUUCUCUCUGUACCUUAUGAUAUAAUUUUGCUAUUUGAUUUUUGCCUGAGUUGUUUCCUUUAACAUGCAAACUUAAGGCUAUUUAGCUGACAACUCCCUAGGGGAGUAAAACAGGUUAUUAAGAAUUUGAAAGCCUAAGAUAGGGGAAAAAAGCUCCUUAAGUAUCUAUACGAUGUACUUCUAUCAGCAUGCCUACUAUGUCUAUAUAUUUAUGUGAUGUGUACACAAUUUCUCGCUACUGAAAAUAUAUAAAAGAGUUCUAAUUAAUUGGCUUAAGAUAAAAAGCACUUGAAUCUAAUACUUUAUCAGGAAAAAAGAAAAGACUAGUUGAAUGCUUUCUGAAGUUUAUGUAACAAGUAAAAUCUUUAAUAAAUAAGCUAGCUUUAAAAUUAUUGGUAAAGUAAUAUUAGACAUGUCUUAAAAAUUGCCAGCAUGCAUUUUUGUUUGCAUUUAUUAAUCAAGCAAUUUCAUGCUUAUCCCUGUCAAAUACCAUAAGGUGUCAAAAUUUGCCAUGGAGUUACAAAACUGUAAUAGAAUGAUCUUUGCUUGUAUAAUCUUUAAUAAAUAAGACAUUGAUAUUGGUUUAAUAAAAAUAGUCACAUCUUGAAUUUAGUGAGAUUACUGUAACUUCUAAUUUUGUGGUUUUGGUGGUCUAGUCCACAGGCAGUAAGAUUUAGUUUGAGAAUGAACUGUUAUAAUCUUUGUUUCAAAGGUAAACUAUAAACUAUGUUCCUCUCAACGUCUGUUCAGCCUGUGCCCAGGAUUGAACAAGAACAGUUUGGAGGUUAGAAGCAAGAUGGAGUCAAUUAGGUCAGAUCUUUUUCACUGUCUCAGUUAUAAUUUUGCAAUGGCAGUUCCAUAACUUUAAAUGAUGACUAUUGCAGUUUUCAUAAAUAAUCUAGGUAAACAAUUCCUUUUUAAAAAGGUGAACAAUUGUCAUCUAAUUCAAUGCUUAUUUAAAGAUUAUGUAUAAGACAAGUUAAAAGGAACCAGGAAAUCAGAGAGAUGUAAAGAAAGGUAUAAAAAUAAAGAGGAUAAAGAGGGUUCUUUUUGGUAAGGAAGCUUAAAGAGAAAUAAUUUCAUAUGAGAAAAGAUCUUGUAUGGUAAAUUUAGACCUAAAAUAAAAUGAUUGUUUAAGAAAGAUGGAUGUUCAAAACAAACCAGAAAGUCCAAGCAUAUCAUGAACAGUCUGUAAAAGUCAUAAUAAGAGGAUUAAAAAAAAAACCAACAAACUUUUAUAUGGUCAAGUUGUCUGUAAUUAAAAGGAAAUUAUAAUAGUCUUCCUGAAGAUUGGGCUUCAUGUAAAAAAAAAAAAGCAAUGAUAAACAAAAUAGUUAGAGCGAUGAAAUUUUCUUAAGGGAUUGAUUUACUCUUAUUAAAUUAUAAGAGAUUUUAAUUUUUUUAACCCAAAGUUCAACUGUUUACUCGCUGUUUUCUCUCCCCUUCAACUCGUUUGCAGCUCAUAUAAGUUAUUUUCCUUAAAUUCUAUUUGUUAUGGUCUGAUGCUAACAAUGUUUUCUAAAAGUCUAAAGAAAAUGUUUUCUUCCAAAGUAAUAUUCUGUGCAGUGUAGAAGGUCUUUUCUUUUGCCUUUGGGUAAUUGACCUAACAGAUUUUAUGGCUUAUUGAAACAAUGCUAUGCUGUUAUUAUUAAUUUUUGAUUUGCUCAGGAAAAAGUAUCUGAGAUAAUUUUUUAAAAUUAAGGUUAUUACAUCCAUGUAUAUUUCUGUAGGUGCUUUGAAAGUACCUGUGACAUUAAGUUACAGGCCUUUGACUCCUGGGUCUAAAAAGGACACCAAGGUCUGCUAAAUCUUAAGCACUGACAGCAAUUAAAACCUCAUCUUCAGGCCUGGUAGAAGAUGCCAAUCAAAAUAAACUGCAUUCCUGAGACAUAAGGCCAGAAGUAAAAGCUAUUCAACUCCUCAAGGCUCAGGAACUACCACAGAAGAGGUAGGCAUGUGAGAUUGUAAGGGCUGAUUUUGAGAGACAAAAUAAGUUCAGUUUCUCUGCAAGUUAAUAAUUGAUGUCAAAGGCACACUGAUGCAAUACCAGCAUACGGGCCCCUGCGUCAGAUUAAAAAGGUUUUCUUGAAGUGUUAACCGACCCCUUAAUAAAGGUUAUAAAGGUUAAAAAAGGCUUAUGGAAGCUGUAUCUUAUGGUCAAGAUUAAAAUUUUAAAGAUUGAUAAUAAAAUUUCAAAAAACAAAUUUAAUUGGCUUUAUGCUGUUUUAUUUGGGCUUAAUGUUUGAAAAAUUGACUUAUUUUAUGAUGACCUAUCAAGUAUUUUAAACUUUUGAUAUUUGGCAAAGUUUCCAGAAUCAAAUUACAAGUUGUGUAUUUUUCUGACCUAAUUAAUCCUCUAAGAUAUUAGUUUCCCUAAAGUCCAAAAAUGAAAUAAAUGACUUAUUUGGUAUAAAAAUUAUACAGGAAGCAUUGUCAAAUAUAAAAUGGUGUUUGGUUUUCUUUGGGCUGUAUUUGUAUAAAAAUGUUAUUGGUAUGUGCACCAAAAUUAUGGGAAACUCCUAUAAUUCUGAUAUGACAUGGUGUACAAUAUCACUAAUAAUUAUAAUUGUUAUAUAAAAUUAUCGUGUGCCACAGUGGUAACAAAUUUUCUUGUCAAUUGUGUCUUUGAUUAUGGCUGACCUAAAACUUUUUGUCACCCAUGGACAAUUGUUUUGUUUUAGUCCUUUUUAGAAGAUGGUUUUAUAAUCAGCUAUAAAACUCUAACACGUGUUCUUGAAGGCAAGUUUCUAAUAACUUUGGAGACUGUGACAUCAGAAUGGAGGAAAAGCUUUCAGAACUCAUGGAGACCUGAAAUGUUCAUGAAUAGCAAGCAGAACAGGAAUUAACUGCAUGAACUGAACUAAUAGAAGAGCAACGUAAUCUUUUUGACUUUUUGCUUAAAAUGUUGCUGCUCCUUGUUUUCCUUUUUUUAGUCAAGGAAACUUUUAUUUGAGCUGUUGUCAGCUUUUAACAAGUUAGUAUACUCCUGUGAAAAAUAUUUGGAGCAUAUUUGUUUCUCUCUACCUGAUUUUCCCCAGAAUUGGAAACUAUCUGUGAGUAUUCUUAACUUAUGGCAAUACAGUUAUUUGCAUAAGUGCAAUAAUAAUCUGUUUUCAUGUGUAACAAGACACAAUUGGAGAAAUUGGUCAUUUUACCAAGGCUUUGACUGGAAUGGUGUGCUCUCCUUUAAGGAAUCAAAUUUGACUUAUGGAGCCAAUAAAAGCCCCUUGGGAGAACUGGCCUCAUACCUUAUCUACACAGUCCCUGUACAGGGUUCCUGACCUGUGGUAAGUAAAGCAUGUCACUUUCUAACAGUUCCAGGAGCCCCAAGUUUAUCUUGGAACCUCAAGAGCAGAGGAAUUCAUGCAACUCAUAGGUAUUUGAUGGUACAAAUCCAUGGCUAGGCUAAGCUUUCCAAAAGUCUUAUCCGAAAUUCCUUCUAUGGAACAAAGUUCUGAUAGGGACAGGGGGCUGAGAAAUUCUAGGCAGAAAAGGGUAGGUCUCUGACAAAACCCCACCUUCAAGCUGAAAAGCCUUAAACCACGGCCCAAAGUGAGAACUUAUAUCCCUGUUUUCCUGCUUGAAAGUUGCCUUUUUCUAAACCACUCAUGGCUCCAUCCUGUCCAUCCUAUGCCUGUGAAGAUGCCAGACUCAGCUGGCAGAGGCAAGAAGCAGCUGGACAUUGGGAACUACAGCUGGACGUCAGAGAGAAGCAGCUUGAUUCAGAGGGACAGCUUGAUGGUGUAAUCUUGGAGAAGAAUCCAGCUGGAUACAGCCUAACUUUGAGGAAGAUUACCUACCCACCCCAUCCUUUUUCAGCUCCGCUUUCUGCUAAGAGCCACUUUCAUCAGCAACAAAAUCCCCCACAUUUACCAUCCUUUGAUUGGUUCAUGUGACCUCACUUUUCCUGGACACAAGACAAGAGCUUGGGAGCCAGGAGAGCAGAUACAAAAGACUGUCACACUGGCCCUCUGCCCUUGCUGGUGGAGGGCAGCUGCCUCACACAAAAAGGCAGAGGCCUCACUGAGCUGUUGACACUUAAGCCAUCCAUGGAAGGCAGAGUUAAAAGAACACUGUAACAUGCCCUCUGGGGCUAUGGGGGUCGCAGGCACCCCCACCUAGAUGCUGCUGUGGGGCCCACACAGAGUUUGCUCCUGCCGGUGGCCAAAAGCACUCACUUUGGCUCCUGCACUGAUUCACCUGCAUGCUUCCUCCCACAAGCAGGGGACUGCAGCAGGUCCCAGUGAGUGAAGUUUGAUCCUACCGUGCUGCAGUGCCGAUUCCAGCACACGUGCACUCCAGUUCCUGCCUCAUUUGCUUGCAUGCUCGCUCCUGCAAGGAGUUGAGAGUGGCAGGCUGAAUAAACGAGGCACCCGUCACAAGUCCCACAAAGGGGUCAGGGAAACAUCCUGCUUCAGUUCCAUCAAAGGCAAUUUAAAAGCUUAUGCAAAAAAAAAGUAUUACUAUGGCUGCGCUGUAUACAAAUAAUCAGGUCAAGUAUAAUAAAGAAAAUCAGCCCUGCCAUGAUUUGUCUUUAGUAAAAAUGGGAAAUGGGAGAGAGAAGAAUUAUGUUUCAAAAAAUGAUAAUACACCUGUUGUUAGAUUCUAGUCUUGCCUAAUGUUUUCCCAUUUUUAUUAUUUUCUACAGUUUCCACUGAAUUCUAAUUUUUCUUGGCUACAGGUCUUCAAAAGAUUGUUUUCAGUUUUUUUUUUCUUCUUCUUUCC
rnacentral:lncRNA from 1 species